CAUGACGACACAACGUCCUGACUCCUGACCGGAAGGUGGCGGCAGUGAGCGCAACGCUGCAUUCAAGCGGCGCACAACCCUAGAAGAGGAAGACGGGGAUUGAGAAGGAGAAGAAUCCGGAAGCGGGGAGAGAUGCUCUUCAGUCAACGAUGCUGAAGUCGAGGAAGAACAUACCACAGAUUCUUCUCUUGGUAAAAUGUCGACCAGUCUGAAUGAAUGAAGUGUUCAACUCGAACAGUGACAACACGAGACUGCAACUGAGCACAGGAUACAUUGGAAGAGAUGGCCUGAACUGACUCAUCAUGGAGGAGCUCCCAUCCUGAAACUCACAGGCCUCCAUGUGCUGAGAGAACUGACUCAUAUUGCAGAGGCCUUGUCUGAAAAUGAGUGUUGAUCCUGAAACAUGGAGAGCAUGGAAAUAUGUAUUCAUGGAGAAGUAAUACCGGCUCAUUCAUGCUGAGGGUCAUCACUCACAGGACCAACACAACAAGGUCGCUACAAUGAAGAAAGGUCAGAGGACGGACAACUAGCGGUCCUUCUGAAGCAGGAACAUGAGAUAAAUAACAAACUCCACCACUUAUGCUCCACCAUGAAAAGCUGCGUCAUGUGCUAAAAAACUGGUACCAUCUGCCCGUGGAUGGUUUAUCACUGAAAGAUGUGGAUGUACUUCACGUUUCUGUUUAUAAUAAACCUGCAACUGUGUUCAAAA